CAAUAGCGUAUAUUAAAGUUGUUGCAGUUAAAAAGCUCGUAGUUGGAUUUCUGCUGAGAACGACCGGUCCGCCCUUUGGGUGUGUAUCUGGCUCUUUCUUGGCAUCUUCUUGGUGAACGUUGCUGCACUUGACUGUGUGGAGCGCUACCCAGGACUUUUACUUUGAGGAAAUUAGAGUGUUUCAAGCAGGCAUACGCCUUGAAUACAUUAGCAUGGAAUAAUAAGAUAGGACCUCGGUUCUAUUUUGUUGGUUUCUAGAGCUGAGGUAAUGAUUAAUAGGGAUAGUUGGGGGCAUUCGUAUUUAACUGUCAGAGGUGAAAUUCUUGGAUUUGUUAAAGACGGACUACUGCGAANGNAUUUGCNAAGGAUGUUUNCAUUG
rnacentral:rRNA from 1 species